GGCUAAGUUUUCAACUUGUCAAGUAGUCUAAUCACAUCCUCUAGAUAUACUUCAGAUCCUACAAGUGAUAUGAGAGCUUUGGUCUCCAUUGCAUUAGUUUCACAACCUAGGAGAGUAUGGCAUCUAGUGAGGGAAAUUAUCAACGUAGAUGUCCAUAUUUUGUUGGUCCAAACUUUGCUAGUUGGAAGCAUAAGAUGAAAACGCAUAUUGUUUGUCAUAAUCCUCCCGUUUGGGUUGUUGCUCGUGUUGGUGUGCAAGGUGAUUUCUUCGGAGAAGGAAGAUAACCGAAUCAUGAUGCUACAACGGAUGGAUUGAAGAUAUUGCAAUACAAUGCUCAAGCCCGUGAUAUCUUGUUCAACUC
rnacentral:lncRNA from 1 species